AAGUGCACAUUGGCUGACUAUGGCUGUGUACCCCCGUGUCCUGUUAAUGUGGCUCUACACUUUGGACCACAAUGCACUAGAUGUUGACAAGGGGCACCCAAUUACAGAGGACUCAAGUAAGGAAGUUUUGCGGGAGGGCCAGAAACUUUGGUGAGAAAAACUUGUUAUAAAUGAGUAACUCUUCUUUGCUUAAAAACUUGUGCAGGGCACUUACCAAAAAACGUCUCUAGUACAGGGAAAAGGGGCAAGCUAUCAAUUCCUAGUAUUUCUUUUCUGCAGUAUACAUGAUUUUUCUUCUGGAGCACAUUUACAGGUAUAUGAGUAUGUAUGCAAAUAUGCAUGAAUAUUUGUGGAGUUGAUUGUGGCCAGCCACAGAGAGAACGUGAGUGUAUGAAUGUUCGAAUGUAUAAAUGAUUGUGUGUAUUUGUCUGUAUAAAGCAUCUUAAUUCUUUUCUUUUCCUUUAAAGCAGCACCAGCAAUCAAUAUUUUUACUGAAUUUCUAUCUGCUAAACAGUGUUAAUUGCCAGAUAUUAGCAUUUAUUAAAUACAAAUGGUAAAGACUUAAGAAAAAGUUAAGUUCUUAGCACAGAAUAGUAAGAAAGAGUUAAACUUACAGAGAGUUAUAACAUUUAAUAAAGCACAGAGUUAAAGAGAAAAGAAGCCAGCAUUUUUAAUCAGAGAAUAAGCUAGAAAGUUUUUAGAAUCUUUUAGAAGUUAUCGGCAAGCAUUCAGUAUAGAUAUUGAAAAUUGGCAAAGAAUAAAAAGGGAUGUAGAAAAGACUGUUUGGUAAAGGAAGAAAAUUCCUGUAAACCUUGAGUUAAUUCUGUGCUUUAUUUUGGUAGUAUUUUAGGGUAUGAGUCGUAUACUUGCGGCAGGCUGGUGUUCACAAAGCAGCCUUCCUAUAUCUGUUUUUUGCAUAAUUUUUAACCUUUCUAUAAUCAGACUUACUUGUACUGGCAGGACCAGUAUAGAAAAUAUAGAUAAUGGAGCUUAUAGAAUUGAAUAUGAGGAAGGCACAAUAAAUUUAGCAACCUUGAAGGUUAAGAUAAGACGUCAAGUUAGCAAGGAGAGAGAAGUAGUUUCAGAGAGGAAAAACCUAUCAGAGAAAGUUCGGUAAAAGGAAGGAAAAUGAAAGUAAGCUGUUCUGCAGCUAGACACAGAGGCAUACAGCUGCAAUGGAGGCCCCAGGAUGCUGGGGUCAACACCAACAGGCUUUGUUGUUGUAAGCUCACUGCCUGAGCACUCUCUGACGCCUGGAGGAAGAGAAUCUGAGGCAGCUGCAGGACUGCAGGAAGAGAAAUGGCAUGCUCAGGCUAUUGUUAUUCCAAAGUUCAGGAAUUUUAAUAUUGAUUAAUGGAAGUCUGAUAAGUUAAUGGAACAUUGGCAGUUUAUAAUUCAGCUAUAAGUAAAGAAAACCAUAGGACAAUUGCUGGGCAGAAGGUACAGAUGAGACUGCUGGGUACCUGGAGGAAAAGAGAGAUGCAAGGGAGGAGAAGAGAGUUCACCAGGCUUCUGAUGGAGUAAAGUUGACCAAACAUGUGAGGUCUCAGGCCUGUCGCUGCUACUACAGACUGAGGCCUAGGAAAUAUAUUUCCUCAAGCAGAGAAUCCUGGUGUUCUGCACAGUAAGCUGCAAACCCGAGGAAGAAACCUUUCCUUCCUGUUCUCAUGAGAAUGUAACGUUUUGAAUUAUAAGAAGCAACACAUCUAAGAAUUGGAUGGCUGACAGAUUUCUCAGUCUGCAGUGAGGUUUGGGUCACUCUGAACCAAGAUAAGCUAUUGCUAGGAAAACAGCACCUGGUAUAAACUGAAAACUGUUAAAAUCUUUAUUCUGUCUUUUGUAUAAUAUAAAGUUUGCAUUGCUGACUGUG